rnacentral:rRNA from 1 species
GUUUGAUCCUGGCUCAGAGCGAACGCUGGCGGCAUGCUUAACACAUGCAAGUCGCACGAAGGUUUCGGCCUUAGUGGCGGACGGGUGAGUAACGCGUAGGAAUCUGUCCACGGGUGGGGGAUAACUUUGGGAAACUGAAGCUAAUACCGCAUGAUACCUGAGGGUCAAAGGCGCAAGUCGCCUGUGGAGGAGCCUGCGUUUGAUUAGCUGGUUGGUGGGGUAAUGGCCUACCAAGGCGAUGAUCAAUAGCUGGUUUGAGAGGAUGAUCAGCCACACUGGGACUGAGACACGGCCCAGACUCCUGCGGGAGGCAGCAGUGGGGAAUAUUGGACAAUGGGGGCAACCCUGAUCCAGCAAUGCCGCGUGUGUGAAGAAGGUUUUCGGAUUGUAAAGCACUUUCGGCGGGGACGAUGAUGACGGUACCCGCAGAAGAAGCCCCGGCUAACUUCGUGCCAGCAGCCGCGGUAAUACGAAGGGGGCUAGCGUUGCUCGGAAUGACUGGGCGUAAAGGGCGUGUAGGCGGUUUGUACAGUCAGAUGUGAAAUCCCCGGGCUUAACCUGGGAGCUGCAUUUGAUACGUGCAGACUAGAGUGUGAGAGAGGGUUGUGGAAUUCCCAGUGUAGAGGUGAAAUUCGUAGAUAUUGGGAAGAACACCGGUGGCGAAGGCGGCAACCUGGCUCAUAACUGACGCUGAGGCGCGAAAGCGUGGGGAGCAAACAGGAUUAGAUACCCUGGUAGUCCACGCUGUAAACGAUGUGUGCCAGAUGUUGGAUAACUUAGUUAUUCAGUGUCGUAGUUAACGCGUUAAGCACACCGCCUGGGGAGUACGGCC